AAAAAUAUCAUAAAGUGUGGGAAUGUAUUUAUUAGUACACAGAUUUCAGAAAUCUUAUGAGUAGUCAUGCUAUUUUCAAAGUCUAGCUUAUGAGUAAAAAUAUAAAGAAUUUAGUUCCCAAUAACCAUAGAAUUUAAUAGAAUAGCAAAAUCAAUAAAAACUAAAUUUUUUGAAUAACAAAUGAUUUGAAUAGAAAUUAAAAGUCUUUAAACCAAUAACAAUGGAUUUUGGAAAGACUUUUAAAUUCCAUAAACCAAUAACCAUGAAUUCUUAAAAUUUUAUAAUUCUUUAAAAAUUCUUAAACCAAUAACCCCCCCUAAAUAGUAUAUGUGAGAAUUUUCACUGCAAAACCAAAUGAUAUUGAAUAACUACCCCUUUUUUUUUAAUAAAUAUACCUCAUCUUUUAUAUACUAGUUUUCAAUAAUUUAUGUUUAGGAUGUGAGCAUUCUUGACCAUGCAUUCUUUUUUUGCACGAAUGUUAAAUUAUUCAGAUAAAUUUUUUUUUACAACUUGUGUAACCUCUUUCUCUAAAGUUGACAACUUUUUGGUUUAUUCAUCUCAACCCCAAAAACGCUCAAUUUUUUUUUGAUAAGUUUUAUCGGCUGAUUCAAUCGGUCCUGAAAGGAACGCACCUAGUGCUAUAGAGUGGACUAGUCCGAAAGCGUAUCACACUGUUUGACCCGAGUUUGAAAUAUCUUCCGACUUUAUUAGACCGAUCAUCUG
rnacentral:lncRNA from 1 species